rnacentral:rRNA from 1 species
AGAGUUUGAUCCUGGCUCAGAACGAACGCUGGCGGCGUGGAUAAGACAUGCAAGUCGAACGAGACUUUUCGUUGUAGCAAUACGAUGGAAAGUUUAGUGGCGAACGGGUGCUUAACACGUGGGCAACCUGCCAUGAAGUGGGGGGAUAGCUCGCCGAAAGGCGAAUUAAUACCGCAUGUGAUUAGAGAGGACAUCCUUUCAAAAUUAAAGUCGGGGCAACCUGACGCUUCUUGUGGGGCCCGCGGCCUAUCAGCUAGUUGGUGAGGUAACGGCUCACCAAGGCUUUGACGGGUAGCUGGUCUGAGAGGACGACCAGCCACACUGGGACUGAGACACGGCCCAGACACCUACGGGUGGCAGCAGUCGAGAAUUUUUGACAAUGGGGGAAACCCUGAUCGAGCGACGCCGCGUGGAGGAUGAAGGUCUUCGGAUUGUAAACUCCUGUCAUUUGGGAACAAGGUGCACACGUUAACUGCGUGAGUAUUGAUAGUACCAGAAGAGGAAGAGACGGCUAACUCUGUGCCAGCAGCCGCGGUAAUACAGAGGUCUCAAGCGUUGUUCGGAUUCAUUGGGCGUAAAGGGUGCGUAGGCGGCGCGGUAAGUCGGGUGUGAAAUCUCGGAGCUUAACUCCGAAACUGCAUUCGAUACUGCCGUGCUUGAGGACUGGAGAGGAGACUGGAAUUUACGGUGUAGCGGUGAAAUGCGUAGAUAUCGUAAGGAAGACCAGUGGCGAAGGCGGGUCUCUGGACAGUUCCUGACGCUGAGGCACGAAGGUCAGGGGAGCAAACGGGAUUAGAUACCCUAGUAGUCC